UGCGUGCGCACGCGCGCUGUCCCCCGGAGGCGUCUGGGUGUGCGGAGCGCGCGCGCGCGGCUGGGAGGCGCACCUGUGAGGUGUCCCUUGAGGAGAGGGAGGGUGGGUGCGCGGAGCCCGCGGCCUGGGGCGCUUCAACCCCUCACUUGGAAGCGCCCUGCGUCCCAGCAGAGCCCGCCGAGCAUCCUUCUCAGGUGAUGAGGAACCUUUCGCGCACCCAGCGCAGAACGCCGCUGCCGCUGGACGCCUCCAUUGUUUGACCACAGCAAGGGCCGGAUUCUCACCCAGACCUGCAAAUCCAAGAGAUACAUCUCUCUGGACGAUAAGAGAGCUUCUUCCUCAAGAUCAAAAAAGGAGACUGGAGUGAGACCCAUGUAGGGAAUCCCCAGAAGGAAGGAUUGGCACACCUGGAACCCGAGGAGCUUGCUUCCUGGGAAGGCUCCUGUCUGAUGUGUAGGAGGCAGAAUGUCCUACUGACUCUUCAAGGGGAGGCUACAGGGGACCGAGACCCUCCGCCACAGGGGACACUGUGCAGUCCUUUUUCUAGAAGUGGGAAGUACGAGAUUGUUCUACAAGAGGAAGAUUCCAGGGGCUUACAAACACAGAGGUUUGCACCUUGGGAGCCCCUUGGAAUGUUGACAACUCAGGAUCUAAAGGAAAAUUCUGUGUUCAUGAGUUACAGAAUUCAUGUGGAAGUAAAUGUCACUUUAUGAUCAAUAAUAAUACUGAGUGAGGAGCACUAUGCAGGAAGAAAUCUUCCACAGAAAUACAGGCAGGGAGAAGCUUAGGCCAACCUUAGACCUACCUAAUAGAGCAAGCCUGAGAUAAACUGCCAGAAUGGCCAAAUAAGAGACUCUAUGAAAUAGCAAUCGUGUAACUAUAGUAGUCGUACAGAAAUUUUUUCCUCUAAAUCACGAUACCAAAUAGGAAAAAUGAUCUACAAGUGCCCCAUGUGUAGGGAAUUUUUCUCUGAGAGAGCAGAUCUUUUUAUGCAUCAGAAAAUUCACACUGCUGAGAAACCCCAUAAAUGUGACAAGUGUGACAAGGGUUUCUUUCAUAUAUCAGAACUUCAUAUUCAUUGGAGAGACCACACAGGAGAGAAGGUCUAUAAAUGUGAUGAUUGUGGUAAGGAUUUUAGUACUACAACAAAACUUAACAGACAUAAGAAAAUCCACACAGUGGAGAAGCCCUAUAAAUGCUAUGAGUGUGGCAAAGCCUUCAAUUGGAGCUCACAUCUUCAAAUUCACAUGAGAGUUCAUACAGGUGAGAAACCCUAUGUCUGUAGUGAGUGUGGAAGGGGCUUUAGUAAUAGUUCAAACCUUUGCAUGCAUCAGAGAGUCCACACCGGAGAGAAACCCUUUAAAUGUGAAGAGUGUGGGAAGGCCUUCAGGCACACUUCUAGCCUCUGCAUGCAUCAGAGAGUUCACACAGGAGAGAAACCCUAUAAAUGUUAUGAGUGUGGGAAGGCCUUCAGCCAGAGCUCAAGCCUCUGCAUCCAUCAGAGAGUACACACUGGGGAGAAACCCUAUAGAUGUUGUGGGUGUGGGAAGGCCUUCAGCCAGAGCUCAAGCCUCUGCAUCCACCAGAGAGUGCACACUGGGGAGAAACCUUUUAAAUGUGAUGAGUGUGGGAAAGCCUUCAGUCAGAGCACCAGCCUCUGCAUCCACCAGAGAGUGCAUACAAAGGAGAGAAACCAUCUCAAAAUAUCAGUUAUAUAGAGCAUUUUGCUAAGAGUUAAAAAUCUUAAAACCCAUAAGUGCCACUAGGAAGGAAACCCUGUAAAUACCUACAUUGACCUAAGAAAUUUUUACAGCAAGCCCCAGCAGGACAUUCUUAUUGAAGAGGCAUAUAGUGAGGUUGGUUUUUUUAGAUUCAUGUCAAGUGUAUGCCACAACUUGGCUUUGAAUCUGGAAUCCCUCUGAGUGUCUGCCCAAGACAGGCUGUGAGGUCCCAGUCAUGGGUGUGCGUUUCCUGGGAUUUGGGCCUGAUGUCUCAGUAAUGGGAAAUACGACACAGGAAACCAUGAUCAUUGCCCAGCCUCCUGAGUCACCUUCUGUCUACGCUUUACCUAAAAGUUACCCCAGUCAUCCCCCCCUUCAGGAGCUCAUGCCCUUCCUUCUUUCGAUUCAGACAUACUGGUUAAUGCAUUUGAAAAUGGACAGCUCCCACAAAGACAGCGUUCUGGUAUUUCUGAGGUUAUCCCUUGGUUCAGCCCCUACAUAUCGUUCCACAGAUCCCAUUACUUCUGAGCCCGCUUUACCUGUAUGUCCUCACAGUACCCGUAAAUAUCCACCCCUUCCUAGAUGGCAUUAAAUUUCAUUUUAGAUUUUAGGUGACUCAUAAUUUCCAUUCGCUUGGCCCAUCAGAGAAAUCACUGGCAGACGUACAUGCCCUUGAACUUUUUUUUAAAACAUGUUGUGGAUUCUGCUAAUCACUGUGUCUCUAUGUUAGACUUAAUUUUCUAGUGGCUACAUCACAUAUUUUUAACUUGAAUUUUUUGGAAAUAGCUGAAUGUAAAUAGGGAGGAAGAAGUAAGCAAGCAAAGUUGGAACUUUUCUCCAUCCAGAAUUGCCCUCUUGGGCUCCUUUUGUAGCAAGCACGUGGAGCUCCUUACUAGCUAGGGGAGACCAUAGGAGAAGUGGAUGGUGGGAGGAGUCACUAAUAAUAUUUAGUCUCUGUUUCUGUAAUUUUGGGCAAUAAUGUGUAGGAGUCCUCAAUACCUUCAUUGAGGAUCAGGUAUUCCUUCGUUUUUAGGCAUGAAUAUCUAUGUCACUCUCUCCUUUCCUUUCUUCAUUCAUUCAGCAAGUAUUUAUUGAACACCUCCUCUGUGCCAGGCAUUGUGCUAGGUGCUGGGAAUACCACUGAGUAAGACAGACAAGGGCCCUACUCUCAUGGAGUUUACUUCUGGUGGAGGAGACAGAUGAUACGCAAGUAAGCAAAUACAUAAUGUAGUUUGAGAUAGUGAUUAAGUGCUAUGAAGAAAAUAAACUAGGGUGAUGAUUUAGAGUGGGGGUGGGGUGGGGGUGGGGCAUCAUUAGACAGUCAGGGAAGGCCUUUCUGAGGGGGGCGCUGGAGUGGAGCGCGCAAGGCUGGCAGCACCAGCUGGCUGGCCCCCGCUGCCAUGUUUGCGGAGCAGAAGGUGGCCAGGUGCUGGGGCAGAGCGAGCCACGGGGAGGGGAGAGAUACUGAGUUGUUCAGUAUCCCAACAUUUAUAGGCCCCUUUUUCUUUUCUUCUUCCUUUUUUUCUUUUCUUUUUUUUUUUUUUUUGUGGCUAGAUUGAUAUUAAAAACUCAUGUGGAAGAACUCAAGGAAUGUUUAGAAGACCAAAAGUCCCCAAUGACGAGAACAAAAAGCAACUAAUUUUUAACUUUGUUUCUCUUCUCAUUCCUGUUUCCAUUGAUUCCCACAUGUAGUCCUUAUGCUCAGGAAGUCUUGGGGGAAGUUAAGGAUCUUUGAAGCUCUGAAAUGGGUGAACAGGUUCGUGGUGUCUGUCAACUGUCUUAAGAGGUUGGGAAAUGAAUUCCCGAAAUAGUCAUCGAAAUACUGAAACAAAGCUUGAUUUUCUCUUCAUAUUUGAAUUAAUUUCUUCUGUUUGACUGGAAAGGGUUUUUGUGUAACUAAAACCUCAAAGGCAUAAAGGAGAUUUAAAAGGAGCACAUUAUUUAGUGGGUGGGCCAUGAAACUAGAGAUGGGGUUUGGGGAUAAUUGUGUCCCUCUCUGGAUUUUCAUCCAGACAGCUCUGUUCACAGCCUUUGGGAAGUCCCUUCUCCUGUGUGUCCUCCUUGCCCAGGAGAGGGCCAGCCUGGUUCCUGGGUGGAACCCCUUCCAGGCCUGAUGCCCUCGACUACGAUUUACUGUAGUGUCUUACCCUCGUCCAUGUCAUGGUAGCCUGCGGCGUUAGAGAGCCGCCUAGACUUUUAGUUGGUAGAGAGACAGCGGAACUAUCAUCAGUAGGAUUUUAGUUUUAGGAAAAAUCGGUUUGAUUUCUAGCUUUAUUACUAUUAGGUGUGUGAGCUUGGGCAGAUCGCCUAAUCGUUGAGUCUAGUUUUCUCACAAAACGAGGACAUUAGGCUAAAUGAUUUCCGAGUUUCCAGCUAGUCCUAGAGUUCUAUAUUUCUACAUAGUUGAAUUAUUUUAUCAUGCUGUUGCUGGGGAAUAUGACUAACACUUUUGAAGCUACUAAUUUUAUGUCGAGCUUUAAAGUCCAUAAUUGUUAUCUUCGGAAAAUAUUAUUUGACCUACAGUAUGUCCAAAUCAAUUUAAUAAAAUCACUUUAUAACAGGG